rnacentral:rRNA from 1 species
CCUACGGGAGGCAGCAGUGAGGAAUAUUGGUCAAUGGACGAGAGUCUGAACCAGCCAAGUAGCGUGAAGGAUGACUGCCCUAUGGGUUGUAAACUUCUUUUAUAUGGGAAUAGAAUGUUCCACGUGUGGGAUUUUGUAUGUACCAUAUGAAUAAGGAUCGGCUAACUCCGUGCCAGCAGCCGCGGUAAUACGGAGGAUCCGAGCGUUAUCCGGAUUUAUUGGGUUUAAAGGGAGCGUAGGUGGAUUGUUAAGUCAGUUGUGAAAGUUUGCGGCUCAACCGUAAAAUUGCAGUUGAUACUGGCAGUCUUGAGUACAGUAGAGGUGGGCGGAAUUCGUGGUGUAGCGGUGAAAUGCUUAGAUAUCACGAAGAACUCCGAUUGCGAAGGCAGUUCACUGGACUGCAACUGACACUGAGGCUCGAAAGUGUGGGUAUCAAACAGGAUUAGAUACCCUAGUAGUC